rnacentral:piRNA from 1 species
UGGGAGAUUCCUUGGUGUAAGUGUCAUGG